GACGAACGCUGGCGGCGUGCUUAACACAUGCAAGUCGAACGGAAAGGCCCUGCUUGCAGGGUACUCGAGUGGCGAACGGGUGAGUAACACGUGGGUGAUCUGCCCUUCACUUCGGGAUAAGCCUGGGAAACUGGGUCUAAUACUGGAUAGGAGCCUGCUUUAGUGUGAUGGUUGGAAAGUUUUUUCGGUGUAGGAUGAGCUCGCGGCCUAUCAGCGUGUUGGGGGGGUAAUGGCCUCACAAGGCGGCGACGGGUAGCCGGCCUGAGAGGGUGGACGGCCACAUUGGGACUGAGACAGGGCCCAGACUCCUACGGGGGGCAGGAGUGGGGAAUAGUGCACAAUGGGCGCAAGCCUGAUGCAGCGACGGCGCGGGGGGGAUGACGGCCUUCGGGUUGUAAACUCCUUUCGCUAGGGACGAAGCUUUUUGUGACGGUACCUAGAUAAGAAGCACCGGCUAACUACGUG
rnacentral:rRNA from 1 species